GCCCCGUAAUCGGAAUGAGUACACUUUAAAUCCUUUAACAAGGAUCCAUUGGAGGGCAAGUCUGGUGCCAGCAGCCGCGGUAAUUCCAGCUCCAAUAGCGUAUAUUAAAGUUGUUGCGGUUAAAAAGCUCGUAGUUGGUUCUGCGUGCCGCGCUGUCGGUUCGCCGCCUGUCGGUGUAACUGGCAUGUCGCGGCAUGUCCUGUCGGUGGUGAACGGAGUCCACAAUGCUACAUAGGCUUUAUAGCCGAUGUUAGCAUCGUGUGUACUUCCGUUGGCCGAUCUCUCCUACUUCGGUGCUCUUAAACGAGUGUCGAGGUAGGCCGACACGUUCACUUUGAACAAAUUAGAGUGCUUAAAGCAGGCUGAAAUAUCUGCCUGAAUAGUGGUGCAUGGAAUGAUAAAACAGGACCUCGGUUCUAUUUUGUUGGUUUUAGGAAUAUGAGGUAAUGAUCAAUGUGGACUGGCGGGGGCAUUCGUAUUGCGACGUUAGAGGUGAAAUUCUUGGAUCGUCGCAAGACGCACUAGAGCGAAAGCAUUUGCCAAGUAUGUCUUAAUUGAUCAAGAACGAAAGUUAGAGGUUCGAAGGCGAUCAGAUACCGCCCUAGUUCUAACCAUAAACGAUGCCAGCCAGCGAUCCGCCGAUGUUCCUUUAAUGACUCGGCGGGGAGCUUCCACCCGGGAAACCAAAGCUUUUGGGUUCCGGGGGAAGUAUGGUUGCAAAGCUGAAACUUAAAGGA
rnacentral:rRNA from 2 species